rnacentral:rRNA from 1 species
AACGCGAAGAACCUUACCUACCCUUGACAUACAGUGGAGCUUGCAGAGAUGCGAGUGUGCCGAAAGGAACGCUGAUACAGGUGCUGCAUGGCUGUCGUCAGCUCGUGUCGUGAGAUGUUGGGUUAAGUCCCGUAACGAGCGCAACCCUUAUUCUUAAUUGCCAGCACGUGAUGGUGGGGACUUUAAGGAGACUGCCGGUGACAAACCGGAGGAAGGCGGGGACGACGUCAAGUCAUCAUGGCCCUUACGGGUAGGGCUACACACGUGCUACAAUGGCUGGUACAACGGGGAGCGAGAGGGUGACCUGGAGCGAAUCCUAAAAAGCCGGUCGUAGUCCGGAUUGAAGUCUGCAACUCGACUUCAUGAAGUCGGAAUCGCUAGUAAUCGUGAAUCAGCAUGUCGCGGUGAAUACGUUCCCGGGCCUUGUACACACCGGCUAC